CCUGGUUGAUCCUGCCAGUAGUCAUAUGCUUGUCUCAAAGAUUAAGCCAUGCAUGUGUAAGCACACACUGUUUUAAAAGUGAAGCCGCGAAUGGCUCAUUACAACAGCCACAGUUUAUUAGAACUUACAUACAUGGAUAACUGUGGUAAUUCUAGAGCUAAUACACGCACAAAAACUUCAACUAUACAAUGGUUGAAGUGCUUUUAUUAGAACAAAAACCGAACGGCGUUCGACUUGUGUUGAACGUCGAAACUCUUUGGUGAAUCUGAAUAACUAUUUCUGAUCGCAUGGUCUAGCACCGGCGACAUCACUUUCAAGUGUCUGCCUUAUCAACCUUCGAUGGUAGUCUAUGCGACUACCAUGGUGAUAACGGGUAACGGAGAAUCAGGGUUCGACUCCGGAGAGGGAGCCUGAGAAACGGCUACCACAUCCAAGGAAGGCAGCAGGCGCGCAAAUUACCCACUCCCAGCUUGGGGAGGUAGUGACGAAAAAUAACGAGACGAUUCUCGUUUGAGAAACGUUAUCGAAAUGAGUACGCUUUACACACGCUAACGAGUAGCAAUUGGAGGGCAAGUCUGGUGCCAGCAGCCGCGGUAAUUCCAGCUCCAAUAGCGUAUAUUAAAGUUGCUGCAGUUAAAAAGCUCGUAGUUGGAUCUUGGGAGCGGGCGGGCGGUCCGCCGCGAGGCGAGUCACCGCCCGUCCCCGCCCCUUGCCUCUCGGCGCCCCCUCGAUGCUCUUAGCUGAGUGUCCCGCGGGGCCCGAAGCGUUUACUUUGAAAAAAUUAGAGUGUUCAAAGCAGGCCCGAGCCGCCUGGAUACCGCAGCUAGGAAUAAUGGAAUAGGACCGCGGUUCUAUUUUGUUGGUUUUCGGAACUGAGGCCAUGAUUAAGAGGGACGGCCGGGGGCAUUCGUAUUGCGCCGCUAGAGGUGAAAUUCUUGGACCGGCGCAAGACGGACCAGAGCGAAAGCAUUUGCCAAGAAUGUUUUCAUUAAUCAAGAACGAAAGUUAGAGGUUCGAAGGCGAUCAGAUACCGCCCUAGUUCUAACGGUAAACUAUGCCAACCAGCGAUUCGCCGAAGUUCAUUUAAGACUCGGCGAGCAGCUUCCGGGAAACCAAAGUGUUUCGGUUCCGGGGGAAGUAUGGUUGCAAAGCUGAAACUUAAAGGAAUUGACGGAAGGGCACCACCAGGAGUGGAGCCUGCGGCUUAAUUUGACCCAACACGGGAAAACUCACCCGGCCCGGACACUGAAAGGAUUGACAGAUUGACAGCUCUUUCUUGAUUCAGUGGGUAGUGGUGCAUGGCCGUUCUUAGUUGGUGGAGCGAUUUGUCUGGUUAAUUCCGAUAACGAACGAGACUCUACCCUAUUAAAUAGUGACAGUAUUGCAUAUUCUGUGCUGAUCACUUCUUAGAGGGACUGGCAAAUUGAAAGCUGCACGAAAAAGAGCAAUAACAGGUCUGUGAUGCCCUUCGAUGUCCGGGGCUGCACGCGCGCUACAAUGAAAGCGUCAACGUGAGUUACGUCCUUACCUGAAAAGGUUUGGCAAUCGAUUGAAACGUUUUCUUGAAUGGAAUAGGGAAUUGCAAUUGUUUCCCUUGAACGAGGAAUUCCCAGUAAGCGUGAGUCAUUAGCUCGCGUUGAUUACGUCCCUGCCCUUUGUACACACCGCCCGUCGCUACUACCGAUUGGAUGAUUUAGUGAGGUGUUUUGACUAGCGCCUGUAGUCGGAUGUAUAUUCGGCUUCGCGCCGGGAAAUUUCCCAAACCAAAUCAUCUAGAGGAAGUAAAAGUCGUAACAAGGUUUCCGUAGGUGAACCUGCGGAAG
rnacentral:rRNA from 1 species